rnacentral:piRNA from 1 species
UGCAUGUCACCAUGCUUCCUGCCAU